rnacentral:lncRNA from 1 species
CCACACUGGGGCUGCAAAUAUCAUAGUACUUGGCCCAGGUGGGGAGGAGAAAAUCCAUCCAGACUCAACUCAGUUGAUUGGCAUACGAAGGUCACCUACUCGAUCCCUGACCCUUGGGAUGACAGAUGGAGAACAGGGGUUGAGGGUCAUAUCUACAGACAUAAUGAGAAGGAUACAGGCUAUGACAGGAAGACUAGGAUACGCAUCUUUAGAAGUUUAGACAGAUUUAUUCCUCCAAAUUCCUCUAUGUGAUGCUAAAACCAAACCAGCUACUAUACCCACACCUGGUCCUGUUUCUGAUGUCACAGGCUGACACCACUUUGUACUACCACCACCUUUCUCUCUCUCUCUCUCUUCCCACUUACCCUACUUCUCCGACCUCCUUUGAAUUCCUAAUGACAUGUUACUAUCAGUAUACUUGCUCAUGAAUGUUACUAACCCAAAUAUUAUGCCUGAUUGUUGGCCCCGAACCCUACAAAACUCUCACAUUAUGUAGGACUCACUGUACAUCAGAAGCCCAUUCUGCCACUCCCUUGGCCAAUUGUCCAUGGGUGUGUCUUUCCACCCAAGCAUCAAAUUUCUUCACGUGGGCCAAAUCCAAGGUGAGGGGAAUCUGUUUCUACUCAAAGAGCUAUGGUAUAUCUAAAUCCUCCUUUAAGAACAAAUGAAGGUUCUUCAUAAAUAUUUCUCAGUUCCUGGUAACACUUUUUCAAGUGCUGCUUCCUUCCUCCCUUCCUUCUUUUGUCCCUUUCUCUUUUCCUUCCUUCCUUCCUUCCUUCCUUCCUUCCUUCCUUCCUUCCUUCCUUCCUUCCCCACUUGGCAGGGCAACUGCUGCUGAGGCCAGAGUAGUGGGUGCCAACGUAGGGUAGCCAUGGAGACAUCUUGAGAGCUCUGGGCCAGAGAGUCUGCCGAGUCUGGCUGGCUGAAUAAGACUGCUGACGCCAUGUGGUGCUGGCACUAGCGUGAGAUGGAGUUCCUUUAUUUAAUAUUUACCGCCACAGUUUGGCUCACCAGUACGGAGGAACUGCAUCCAUGCUUACCUAUCUGGCACAUGCAGAAGCCCCCAAAUUCUGUAUCUUGGUAUUCCUGUUCCCCUGAAAAUAUAUUUAUGAUGAUGGUCCAGCAGGGAGAGAGUACUUAUAUUCACAAACCCUGCCAGUCCCCUGGUCCAGGAAAAAAAGCAAAAUGUGAAAUUCACUGCCUCAUACCUUGCUUAAUCCUCUUACGCUUAAGUAGAGCAGAAACUACUAAUGGUGUCACGGAAACAACAGUGGCUGAUGCUAACUUCAAAACCAUAGAAUGUCAAACAACCCAAGAUCUGCCCAUAUUAGAAAAAUCUAUUGUCAAGCUAGAAGAACAGAUGGAUUUAUUAGCUGGAGGUAGUUUUAUGCAGAGCAAGGAGGGCUUUAGAGGAGAAUUGUUGCUUAUAUGCAAACCACUCAGGAAUCAUUAGAGAUAAUGUGGCUGUGCUCUGGAAAAACCUCAUAGAAAGAGGGAGACGAAUGGUUCCCCUUCUCAUUCUGAGGCUCCUCCUGAUUACUGUGCCUCCUGGCUCAGUACCUCCAGGUAACUCUGCUGUCAGCUACACUUAGCUCUCCUGCUCUUGCCGAUUGCCGUUGGAUCCUGCACCAGUAAUGCUUAACUGAAUACAUAAAUUCACACUUCGAGGCUACUAAACUAAUGGUUAUCUGGUCCCAAGAUGAAUAGGCACCCACCACCAAGUCAAGGUUUGACUCAGAACACAACUCAAGGGGAGAAUGUGAUGCUGAUUACCACUGUGUGCAAUUGUUCUAGCUUAUACAUUUUUGUAAAGUGUACCCUGUCAGUUAACUUGCCCCAAAUGGAGGAGUUCUUGGAAUAUGUAGGCUAUUUUCAAAACUGCCUGGUCUAGUAAAAAUGUUGAACUACCUAUGCUGUUCUGACAAGAUAAUGGUCACGAAGUUAACCACUGGUUCUGCUUCUGUAUGAAAAAUGCUUGCUUGCUCAAGAUAAUCAAGAUGUGUCUGCAAGGCAUUGUUAUGAACAGUAAGCUCUGCCUGCACAUAGGCAGGGUGUGUGCUAACUCCUCUCUCAAACUGUAUCCUUGUGGGUUUUGUCUUUAUAAACCCCAGACUAACAAUAGCUGGAGACACACUUUGAGAUUCCCGAGUCUCUGGUGUGGUCCUGGCCAAUAUCUAAUAAAGCCCCUUUGUUACAAUUCAUUC